rnacentral:rRNA from 1 species
AGUAUCGCGUAGGGAUUUAUCGUUGGGUGGGGGAUAACCGCGGGGAAACUGCGGCUAAUACCGCAUGACGCCUGAGGGCCAAAGGUCUUAGGACUGCCUGAUGAGGAGCCUGCGUCCGAUUAGCUAGUAGGUUGGGUAAUGGCUGACCUAGGCUGUGAUCGGUAGCUGGUCUGAGAGGAUGAUCAGCCACACUGGGACUGAGACACGGCCCAG